AGGGUCUCUCUGUGUCUCCAAGGCUGGAGUGCAGUGGCGUGAUCAUAACUAACUACAGUCUCAAACUCCUGGGCUCAAGGGGUCCUCCCGCCUCAGCCUCCUGAGCUAGGACCACAGAUAUUCCCAUAAAAUGUAUCAGGUUGUUGCAGAUCAAACCGAUGGACAGAAGAUGGGAUAAUGAGCAAAGAUGCAGCACGUAACUACUGUGUCACUUCUCAGCUACAAUGGCUCUGGGCCCUUGACUUGUUUGUUCAUUUUUGUUUAUGCUGAUUCAAGUCCUCUGAAACUCUGAAACAAGAUACAACCAUAAUAACCUUGAGAUAAUGCUUGAAGCAGUAAAGUGAGGACUGGAAAAUAAAUCAUGUGUCCUGAGGCUUCCACUCAACACACGCUAAAACCUCAAAGCAGACAUCAGUAUCAACAGAGAUCCUAGAGCAGCUUUUUAGAGCUGACUUGAGGAGAAGGUGAGGGGUCUCUUAAUACUAAUAGAGAGUGGGGGAAAUCUCAUUUAUUUUUUUUUCCAUUCUCUAGUGCCCCAGUCCCCAAUCAAUCUUUUGGUGGUAGCAGUAGUGGCAGCAGCAACAACAAAGAUACACAGAUUUCAAGUGUCGUGUUCUCAGCUCAGUGAUCAUCCUACUAGAGUCACUAUUUCAUCCAUCAUAUUUCACCCAAUAUAUUCACGCUUACAGCUGAUGAAGAUGACAACCCAGAAAUGCCAACUAUCAUAGACAAAACCCCAAGAAUAGCCUCUCUCUAGCCAAUACACCAGGAAAGAGGCAGGCUAGCAAGACAGAACUUUUAGACAAUAUACCUCUCUACUGCAGUCAACCACCACACCAAAUGGUGGUCACACCCACACCAUCAAAGGCUGAGUGAGGAGCCUAGAUUUCCACCAUCGUUGGUCUAUAAUGAUGCACCCCAAUCUUUCCACCAAGCCAGUGUCAGAAAAGACCUAGCAGGGAGCCAGGAUGUUCAUCUCCAUCAACAAGUAACAAGAGUCCCCCCUCAUGAUGUAUGUGGAACACUGGCAACCACAUGGGGAGCCUAAACUCCCACUCCCUCCCAGUAGUAAUAAGGUGCCCUCUGGCUUGUCUCCCACUGGAGUGCUGUUGGAGGAGGCACAGUGAAGAAGCAAGACUUUCACAACUGCUCAGCACUAGUGAAGCCAUCCCCCUCAGUGUGCUAUGAAUAGAGGCUGGGGAACAGUUAAAAGACACUGUUGCACUUUCUAGCCAGGGUAAUAGCAAUGGAAGCUAAGAAGGAAGCUGAAACUCCCAAACUCGCCAAGCAAUCAUUACUAGCCCCCCACCUAGAGUGUCAAUGGAGGUCAAGUGGAGAACCUGGACUUCUACUUCACAUGGCAGUAAGAAGGCAGUGCCCACCCCCUCCAUCCCUGGAGCAGUCUCAGAGGAAGCCAGCUAAAAGAGAAGGUUGAACUAAGAUUCAGAGUUUUCUGGUAUAAAAUUAAAAAUGUCCAGGUUUCUAUUUUUGUAACUAUAAUAAAAUGUGGUAUUUAUACACAAUGGAAUAGUAUGCAUCAGUUUAAAAUAUGCCUAUCAUUAGUGACAGCAUGGAUGAACCUGGAGGACAUUACGUUAAGUAUAUGCCAGGCAUUGGUUCACUCAUAUGUUGAACCUAAAAGUGUUGAUCUCAUAGAAGUAGGGAAUAGAAUGGAG
rnacentral:lncRNA from 1 species